AGGAAGGGGAUGGUAGGAGACAGGAGACCUCUAGGGACCCCAGGUCACCAGACUUCUCUGAGCCCCAGUUUCCCCAGCAGCGUAUAGGGGCUAUGUGGGGAGUAUUCAGGAGACAGACAACUCACUCGUCAAAUCCUCCCCUUCCUGGCCAACAAAGCUGCUGCAACCACAGGGGUUUCUUCUGUUCAGGCGCCAUGUCAGAACCGGCUGGGGAUGUCCGUCAGAACCCAUGCGGCAGCAAGGCCUGCCGCCGCCUCUUCGGCCCAGUGGACAGCGAGCAGCUGAGCCGCGACUGUGAUGCGCUAAUGGCGGGCUGCAUCCAGGAGGCCCGUGAGCGAUGGAACUUCGACUUUGUCACCGAGACACCACUGGAGGGUGACUUCGCCUGGGAGCGUGUGCGGGGCCUUGGCCUGCCCAAGCUCUACCUUCCCACGGGGCCCCGGCGAGGCCGGGAUGAGUUGGGAGGAGGCAGGCGGCCUGGCACCUCACCUGCUCUGCUGCAGGGGACAGCAGAGGAAGACCAUGUGGACCUGUCACUGUCUUGUACCCUUGUGCCUCGCUCAGGGGAGCAGGCUGAAGGGUCCCCAGGUGGACCUGGAGACUC
rnacentral:sRNA from 1 species